CAGACCUCGAGCUAGUCCAGCAUUCUGUUUGUUUCAGAUUUCCACCUACAAGACAGUGUCUGGUGUUAAUGGACCGUUGGUGAUCUUGGACCAAGUGAAGUUUCCAAGGUUUGCAGAGAUUGUACACUUGACUCUACCUGAUGGAUCCAUUCGAAGUGGACAAGUUCUGGAAGUUAGUGGCAGUAAGGCUGUUGUACAGGUUUUUGAGGGGACAUCAGGUAUUGAUGCCAAGAAAACAGCCUGUGAAUUUACAGGUGAUAUACUUCGCACACCUGUUUCUGAGGACAUGCUUGGUAAGUAGAU